rnacentral:tRNA from 1 species
GUGGGUAGAGCUCAGUGGUAGAGUGCAUGUGCUUAGCAUACACAAGGUCCUGGGUUCAAUCCCCAGCACCUCCU